AUCACUAUAAUCACAACUGGAAUCAAUCAAGAGCUGCUCCAAAUUGGAGCUAAGCUUGUUUAAACUAAUCACCUCAAGGCUAGGCCUUGCCUCAGAGAUUGAGAAGGUGGAUAUAUUUUGACUAAUUGAGCCAUUUGAUACAUGAGAAGAUGAAGUAAAGCUCAAAGAUGAUGAUGGCUCAGAAAAAUUAGCCAUUAAUCUACUUUGAGAACUUUUUAUGAAGGACUGUU
rnacentral:misc_RNA from 1 species